rnacentral:rRNA from 1 species
CAUCAACAGUGUACAAGAGUCCCUUUUAUUCCCACAUCCUGGUCAACAUUUGUUAUUUGUUGUCUUUUUGGUAACAGCCAUUCUGACAGUUAUG